rnacentral:tmRNA from 1 species
GGGGGCGAUCAGGCUUCGACGGGGGCGGGGAUGCGAAAGCUGCGUGUCGAGGUCCCACAUACCUCGUUAAUCCGUGGACAAAAACGCAACUGCGGACGAUCACUCGUACGCAAUGGCUGCCUAACUAACCCUUAGGAACAGCCCGUUCCGCUGGGCCUCGCCUGUGUGGCCCUACCGGGGCGCCGACUAGAGCAGGCUAGCACGUGGUCCUCCGCUGGAGGGAUUGCGAGCGAAAUUUUCUUCUAGCUGGCGCGCCGUUGACCCAGCCUGCCGGGGCGACGGCGCGCGAGAUCAAGUAGGCAGGCUACACACGUAGACGCGGUCGCAGAAGCGCUUUCGGACGCGGGUUCGAUUCCCGCCGCCUCCACCA